rnacentral:rRNA from 1 species
GAGACGAGUGGCGAACUGGUGAGUAACACGUGGGUAACCUGCCCUUGAAGUAGGGGAUAACACUUGGAAACAGGUGCUAAUACCGUAUAACAACCAAAACCACCUGGUUUUGGUUUAAAAGACGGCUUCGGCUGUCACUUUAGGAUGGACCCGCGGCGUAUUAGCUUGUUGGUAAGGUAACGGCCUACCAAGGCGAUGAUACGUAGCCGACCUGAGAGGGUAAUCGGCCACAUUGGGACUGAGACACGGCCCAAACUCCUACGGGAGGCAGCAGUAGGGAAUCUUCCACAAUGGACGAAAGUCUGAUGGAGCAACGCCGCGUGAGUGAUGAAGGGUUUCGGCUCGUAAAACUCUGUUGUUGGAGAAGAACAGGUGUCAGAGUAACUGUUGACAUCUUGACGGUAUCCAACCAGAAAGCCACGGCUAACUACGUGCCAGCAGCCGCGGUAAUACGUAGGUGGCAAGCGUUGUCCGGAUUUAUUGGGCGUAAAGCGAGCGCAGGCGGUUUUUUAGGUCUGAUGUGAAAGCCUUCGGCUUAACCGGAGAAGUGCAUCGGAAACCGGGAGACUUGAGUGCAGAAGAGGACAGUGGAACUCCAUGUGUAGCGGUGAAAUGCGUAGAUAUAUGGAAGAACACCAGUGGCGAAUGCGGCUGUCUGGUCUGUAACUGAC